rnacentral:rRNA from 1 species
CACGUAGGGUGCGAGCGUUGUCCGGAAUUAUUGGGCGUAAAGAGCUCGUAGGCGGUGUGUCGCGUCGGCCGUGAAAACCUGCAGCUUAACUGUGGGCUUGCGGUCGAUACGGGCAUCACUGGAGUUCGGCAGGGGAGACUGGAAUUCCUGGUGUAGCGGUGAAGUGCGCAGAUAUCAGGGGGGAACACCUAUAGCGAAGGCAGCUUGCUGGGACGACACUGACGCUGAGGCGCGAAAGCGUGGGGAGCGAACAGG